GACGAACGCUGGCGGCGUGCUUAACACAUGCAAGUCGAACGGAAAGGCCCUUCGGGGUACUCGAGUGGCGAACGGGUGAGUAACACGUGGGUGAUCUGCCCUGCACUUUGGGAUAAGCCUGGGAAACUGGGUCUAAUACCGAAUAGGACCACGCGCUUCAUGGUGUGUGGUGGAAAGCUUUUGCGGUGUGGGAUGGGCCCGCGGCCUAUCAGCUUGUUGGUGGGGUAAUGGCCUACCAAGGCGACGACGGGUAGCCGGCCUGAGAGGGUGACCGGCCACACUGGGACUGAGAUACGGCCCAGACUCCUACGGGAGGCAGCAGUGGGGAAUAUUGCACAAUGGGCGCAAGCCUGAUGCAGCGACGCCGCGUGAGGGAUGACGGCCUUCGGGUUGUAAACCUCUUUCAAUAGGGACGAAGCGCAAGUGACGGUACCUAUAGAAGAAGCACCGGCCAACUACGUGCCAGCAGCCGCGGUAAUACGUAGGGUGCGAGCGUUGUCCGGAAUUACUGGGCGUAAAGAGCUCGUAGGUGGUUUGUCGCGUUGUUCGUGAAAACUCACAGCUUAACUGUGGGCGUGCGGGCGAUACGGGCAGACUAGAGUACUGCAGGGGAGACUGGAAUUCCUGGUGUAGCGGUGGAAUGCGCAGAUAUCAGGAGGAACACCGGUGGCGAAGGCGGGUCUCUGGGCAGUAACUGACGCUGAGGAGCGAAAGCGUGGGGAGCGAACAGGAUUAGAUACCCUGGUAGUCCUCGCCGUAAACGGUGGGUACUAGGUGUGGGUUCCUUCCUUGGGAUCCGUGCCGUAGCUAACGCAUUAAGUACCCCGCCUGGGGAGUACGGCCGCAAGGCUAAAACUCAAAGGAAUUGACGGGGGCCCGCACAAGCGGCGGAGCAUGUGGAUUAAUUCGAUGCAACGCGAAGAACCUUACCUGGGUUUGACAUGCACAGGACGCCGGCAGAGAUGUCGGUUCCCUUGUGGCCUGUGUGGAGGUGGUGCAUGGCUGUCGUCAGCUCGUGUCGUGAGAUGUUGGGUUAAGUCCCGCAACGAGCGCAACCCUUGUCCUAUGUUGCCAGCGGGUUAUGCCGGGGACUCGUAGGGGACUGCCGGGGUCAACUCGGAGGAAGGUGGGGAUGACGUCAAGUCAUCAUGCCCCUUAUGUCCAGGGCUUCACACAUGCUACAAUGGCCGGUACAAAGGGCUGCGAUGCCGUGAGGUGGAGCGAAUCCUUUCAAAGCCGGUCUCAGUUCGGAUCGGGGUCUGCAACUCGACCCCGUGAAGUCGGAGUCGCUAGUAAUCGCAGAUCAGCAACGCUGCGGUGAAUACGUUCCCGGGCCU
rnacentral:rRNA from 1 species